AUUGAACGCUGGCGGCAGGCCUAACACAUGCAAGUCGAACGGUAACAGGAAACAGCUUGCUGUUUCGCUGACGAGUGGCGGACGGGUGAGUAAUGUCUGGGAAACUGCCUGAUGGAGGGGGAUAACUACUGGAAACGGUAGCUAAUACCGCAUAACGUCGCAAGACCAAAGAGGGGGACCUUCGGGCCUCUUGCCAUCAGAUGUGCCCAGAUGGGAUUAGCUAGUAGGUGGGGUAACGGCUCACCUAGGCGACGAUCCCUAGCUGGUCUGAGAGGAUGACCAGCCACACUGGAACUGAGACACGGUACAGACUCCUACGGGAGGCAGCAGCGGGGAAUAUUGCACAAUGGGCGCAAGCCUGAUGCAGCCAUGCCGCGUGUAUGAAGAAGGCCUUCGGGUUGUAAAGUACUUUCAGCGGGGAGGAAGGGAGUAAAGUUAAUACCUUUGCUCAUUGACGUUACCCGCAGAAGAAGCACCGGCUAACUCCGU
rnacentral:rRNA from 1 species